GCUGCAACUCGCCUACAUGAAGUCGGAAUUGCUAGUAAUCGCGGAUCAGCAUGCCGCGGUGAAUACGUUCCCGGGCCUUGUACACACCGCCCGUCACACCAUGAGAGCCGGUAACACCCGAAGUCAGUAGCCUAACCGCAAGGGGGGCGCUGCCGAAGGUGGGAUUGGUAAUUGGGGUGAAGUCGUAACAAGGUAAC
rnacentral:rRNA from 1 species